UACGAAGGGGGCGAGCGUUGUUCGGAUUUACUGGGCGUAAAGGGCGCGCAGGCGGCUCAUUUUGUCAGGCGUGAAAGCCCCGGGCUUAACCUGGGAAUUGCGCUCGAAACUACUUUGCUGGAGUGUGGCAGAGGAAGGUGGAAUUCCACGUGUAGCGGUGAAAUGCGUAGAGAUGUGGAGGAACACCAAUGGCGAAGGCAGCCUUCUGGGCCAACACUGACGCUCAUGCACGAAAGCGUGGGGAGCAAACAGG
rnacentral:rRNA from 1 species